rnacentral:piRNA from 1 species
UGAAAGAUAUUCAUAGUCCGUAGUUGC